UAAAGUCACAUUGUUGAAUUGUUGCAGCAAUAAAGUCACAUAUUGUUUAGUUGUUGCAGCAAUAAAGUCACAUAUUGUUUAGUUGUUGCAGCAAUAAAGUCACAUAUUGUUUAAUUGUUGCAGCAAUAAAGUCACAUUCUUUAAUUGUUGCAGCAAAAACAAUAUGUGACUUUACUGUUGCAACAAUUAAAACAAUAUGUGACUUUAUUGUUGCAACAAUUAAACAAUGUGACUUUAUUGCUGCAACAAUUAAACAAUAUGCAGUUUUGUUGUUGCAAUAAGUAAAAAAUAUGUGGCUUCACCACUGCAACAAGUAAACUACAUGUAUUAUUAUUUUAAGUACAAACAAUAUUGAUAAAAUACAUGACUUUCUUGCUGUACAUAAACCAGUGAUAUCAUAGCUACUGUAUGGAAAUCACAGAUGUUAUCAUUACCCAAUCAAUGGAUGUUUUCCACAAAAGUGACUCACCACAGGUGUCAUUAUUCAGAGCUAGAAACAAGCUAGCAAUGAAAGUAUUCAAGCUAAGAAUAAACCAUUAAAACAUUUACACUUUACCUGAAGUGUGGAACCUGACAAUAAGCACCAAAAUCUACUACAUACAGGUUAACAUCUCUUUGGUUUUAAUACAAUGAAUAUAAUAAAUAUUUUACAUAUCUAUUUAUAGCAAUGAGAAAAAGUAAAAACGUUAUCAACUCAAAUCUACCAAAGAAAACCCUGAACAAUAAUAAUAUCUUGGCUCAACCUAGGAGAAAUAUUUUAGAUCUUCAUAAGAAAAGGCAUUUAAUGCCCAAUUGCAUAGGUUAGCUUUAAAAUUUAAAAGUAGGAAAAACAGAAUUACCAGUUUUAUACUCUACUCCAUUCACAGCAGAAAUAAAUCAAAUAUAAAUGAAUGAUACCAUAUAGAAACAUACCUGCUUCUUUAACAGUCUGACCUUAGAAUAAAUGCAAUGUCUGUGCAAUAAUUCUGCCAACCACAAUAAAUGGCAGCAAACAUUAUCAAUACUCAAAGUACACUUUUUUCUUUUUAUAAACAUUUAACUCACAUUUUAUAUACUUGCUAAAUAUUUUCAAACAAAAAAUACAAAAUCUUGGUUUUGAUGAGGAAUUAGCUAACAGGAAUAAUUUAGUUCUCACAAAGUAAAGGUACAAAUAAGUUAGCAAUACUUUGAAAAUGGAGAAAAAAGAAUGUUGGGUUAAAUUGGAAACAAU